rnacentral:rRNA from 1 species
GUCCACGCCGUAAACGUUGGGCACUAGGUGUGGCGACCCGACCAACGGUUGCCGUGCCGAAGCUAACGCAUUAAGUGCCCCGCCUGGGGAGUACGGCCGCAAGGCUAAAACUCAAAGGAAUUGACGGGUCCCCGCACAAGCGGCGGAGCAUGCGGCUUAAUUCGAUGCAACCCGAAGAACCUUACCUGGGUUUGACAUGAUGGGAAAAGCCGUAGAGAUACGGUGUCCGAAAGGGCUCAUCACAGGUGGUGCAUGGCUGUCGU